rnacentral:rRNA from 1 species
GUGGGGAAUUGUUCGCAAUGGGCGCAAGCUNNACGACGCAACGCCGCGUGGAGGACGAAGAUCUUCNGGUCGUAAACUCCUGUCGAGUGGAAAGAAUAAUUCGGGGAUGAAUACUCCCCGGAAUUGACGGUACCACUAAAGGAAGCCCCGGCUAACUCCGUGCCAGCAGCCGCGGUAAUACGGGGGGGGCAAGCGUUGUUCGGAAUUACUGGGCGUAAAGGGCUCGUAGGCGGCCAACUAAGUCAGACGUGAAAUCCCCAGGCUCAACCUGGGAACUGCGUCCGAUACUGGAUGGCUUGAAUUCGGGAGAGGGAUGCAGAAUUCCAGGUGUAGCGGUGAAAUGCGUAGAUAUCUGGAGGAAUACCGGUGGCGAAGGCGGCAUCCUGGACCGACAUUGACGCUGAGGAGCGAAAGCUAGGGGAGCAAACGGGAUUAGAUACCCGGUAGUCCUAGCCCUAAACGAUGAAUGCUUGGUGUGGCGGGUAUCGAUCCCUGCCGUGCCGAAGCUAACGCAUUAAGCAUUCCGCCUGGGGAGUACGGUCGCAAG